rnacentral:rRNA from 1 species
UAGUCCACGCCCUAAACGAUGUUAACUGGAUGUUUGUCACGUAGUGAUGAGCAUCUGAGGGAAACCAUUAAGUUAACCACCUGGGGAGUACGUUCGCAAGAAUGAAGCUCAAAGGAAUUGACGGGGGUCCGCACAAGCGGAGGAACAUGUGGUUUAAUUCGAUGAUACGCGAGGAACCUUACCUGGACUUAAAUGUAGAUUGCAUAGCUUAGAGAUAGGCUUUUCUUCGGACUAUUUACAAGGUGCUGCAUGGUUGUCGUCAGCUCGUGCCGUGAGGUGUCGGGUUAAGUCCCAUAACGAGCGCAACCCCUAUCCUUAGUUGCCAGCGGGUCAUGCCGGGGACUCUGAGGAGACUGCCACCGUAAGGUGUGAGGAAGGUGGGGAUGACGUCAAAUCAGCACGGCCCUUAUGUUCAGGGCUACACACGUGUUACAAUGGACGGUACAAAGGGCAGCUACCUGGCGACAGGAUGGCUAAUCUCUAAAGCCGUUCUCAGUUCGGAUCGAAGUCUGA